ACGAACGCUGGCGGCGUGCUUAACACAUGCAAGUCGAACGGAAAGGCCUGCUUUCCCUUGUGGAUUGCGGGUGCUCGAGUGGCGAACGGGUGAGUAACACGUGAGUGAUCUGCCCCCAACUUGGGUAUAAGCCUGGGAAACUGGGUCUAAUUCCCGAUAGGACUGCAGGGUGGUGCCUGUGGUGGAAAACGAUUUUCUAGUGGUUGGGGAUGAGCUCGCGGCCUAUCAGCUUGUUGGUGGGGUAAUGGCCUACCAAGGCGGCGACGGGUAGCCGGCCUGAGAGGGUGGACGGCCACAUUGGGACUGAGAUACGGCCCAGACUCCUACGGGAGGCAGCAGUGGGGAAUAUUGCACAAUGGGCGGAAGCCUGAGGCAGCGACGCCGCGUGGGGGAUGACGGACUUCGGGUUGUAAACUCCUUUCGACCGCGAGGAAGCCACCUGGUUGGAAGGGUGGUGACGGUAGUGGUAGAAGAAGCACCGGCUAACUACGUG
rnacentral:rRNA from 1 species